rnacentral:rRNA from 1 species
UACGUAGGGUGCAAGCGUUAAUCGGAAUUACUGGGCGUAAAGCGUGCGCAGGCGGUUCGGAAAGAAAGAUGUGAAAUCCCAGAGCUUAACUUUGGAACUGCAUUUUAACUACCGAGCUAGAGUGUGUCAGAGGGAGGUGGAAUUCCGCGUGUAGCAGUGAAAUGCGUAGAUAUGCGGAGGAACACCGAUGGCGAAGGCAGCCUCCUGGGGAUAACACUGACGCUCAUGCACGAAAGCGUGGGGAGCAAACAGG